AGAGCCUAUGGGGGCAACAGAACAGAGCGCUCAGUGGGAUUUGGGAUCUGGUUUGUAGAUGAGAUGGGGAGCCUGGUAGAGGCUGUUGGGAGUGGAGCGCCAGCACUGAGGUGGAAGGAGGUCUCUAAGAUGAAAGCUGUGGAGUGAUCCAAGCACGAUUCCAACAGGUAAGAGGAAGGCGAGCAAGCGGAACAGCUGCUAGCUUUUCUGUUAUUAGAGUGAGAGAGAAUCCUCAGAGCCUGUACUUUUUGCCCUCUUGGUUAGUAUUAUCUUAGAAGAAUGCAGUGUGCUCUGUGUUUCUUCCCUAGAGCCACAAUGAAGACACAGGUAAAAUAACGCAGAUGUCAGCAUCUCUACUCCCUGAUGUGGACCAAAGACACAGUUGUUGAUCGGAAGUGGAUUUUAUAUCUGGGCCCAGUGAGCCAACAACAGGUCCGAUACCUCCCUGCUGUGUGACUCGUGGGGCUUCGGCAUUGCUAUUCGGCCUGACACAGGUCCAGAUUAGUACUAUCUUGAGUAUCACUUUAUCAGCUGGAAGAAAAACAGCCUGACACCCCAAGGUUUGAUAAUUAGGAAGUACAGCCCCGGCGCACAUACCUGACCAUUUUAAAGCCGUCCUGAGGUCUGUGGUUAACGCCUCCAAUCGGUGCACGACAGUCAAUGCAUACGCUCUGUUCCAUCGGCCUGCCGCACUACAGUGAAGACAGAGGCCGCUCAGAAUCACUUCUGGAGCCAGUACCAUUUUAUGUACAAAUGCUGUCCUGCAAAUGACACCCCCUUAUCGCUGGAGGAUGUGAGCGGCCUCAGAUUGUCUGUUCCAGCAUUUCAGGGUCUCAAAGGAAGCAAUGGACAGAAACAAAUCAACAGGGGCUGCCGAUGGCCUCGGCAGAUCAGCAAGACAGCAAAUCUGUCAACCUGGCCCAGCUGUCGCAGCUGUCCCGUUCCAGUCACUGGUUAGCUCAUACCGGCCAGGUGCGCCCCGGAGGCCAUGGGCAUGGGACUUG